AUUGAACGCUGGCGGCAUGCCUUACACAUGCAAGUCGAACGGUAACAGGUCUUCGGAUGCUGACGAGUGGCGAACGGGUGAGUAAUACAUCGGAACGUGCCUAGUAGUGGGGGAUAACUACUCGAAAGAGUGGCUAAUACCGCAUGAGAUCUACGGAUGAAAGCAGGGGAUCGCAAGACCUUGUGCUACUAGAGCGGCCGAUGGCAGAUUAGGUAGUUGGUGGGAUAAAAGCUUACCAAGCCGACGAUCUGUAGCUGGUCUGAGAGGACGAUCAGCCACACUGGGACUGAGACACGGCCCAGACUCCUACGGGAGGCAGCAGUGGGGAAUUUUGGACAAUGGGCGAAAGCCUGAUUCAGCAAUGCCGCGUGCAGGAUGAAGGCCUUCGGGUUGUAAACUGCUUUUGUACGGAACGAAAAGCUCUGGGUUAAUACCCUGGGGUCAUGACGGUACCGUAAGAAUAAGCACCGGCUAACUACGUGCCAGCAGCCGCAGUAAUAC
rnacentral:rRNA from 1 species